rnacentral:rRNA from 1 species
GACGAACGCUGGCGGCGUGCUUAACACAUGCAAGUCGAGCGGGGAUUGAUGAAGUGCUUGCACAGAUUCAAUUCUAGCGGCGGACGGGUGAGUAACGCGUGAGCAAUCUGUCCUACACAGGGGGAUAACACGUGGAAACAGGUGCUAAUACCGCAUAAGACCACGAGGUCGCAUGGCCACGGGGUGAAAGAAUUAUCGGUGUAGGGUGAGCUCGCGUCCGAUUAGCAGGUUGGUGAGGUAACGGCCCACCAAGGCGACGAUGGGUAGCCGACCGGGGAGGGUGAUCGGCCACAAUGGAACGGAGGCACGGCCCAGACACCUACGGGAGGCAGCAGUAGGGAAGAUUGGGCAAUGGGCGGAAGCCUGACCCAGCAACGCCGCGUGAAGGAAGAAGGUUUUCGGAUUGUAAACUUCUGUCCUAAGUGACGAAGACAAUGACGGCAGCUUAGGAGGAAGCCCCGGCUAACUACGUGCCAGCCGCCGCAGUAAGAC